GAUGAAGAACGCAGCGAAAUGCGAUACGUAGUGUGAAUUGCAGAAUUCAGUUAAUCAUCGAAUCUUUGAACGCACAUUGCACCUCUCGGUAUUCCGGGAGGUAUGCCUGUUCGAGCGUCAUUUGUACCCUCAAGCUCUGCUUGGUGUUGGGUGUUUGUUCCGCCUCUGUGUGUGAACUCGCCUCAAAACAAUUGGCAGCCGGCGUACUUGUUUCGGAGCGCAGCACAUUUUGCGAUCCAGAUCAACGUACAGCGGCAUCCAAGAAGCCUUAUUUAACGCUCUUGACCUCGGAUCAGGUAGGGAUACCCGCUGAACUUAAGCAUAUCAAUAAGCGGAGGA
rnacentral:misc_RNA from 1 species